AGAGUUUGAUCCUGGCUCAGAACGAACGCUGGCGGCAUGCCUAAUACAUGCAAGUCGAACGGUCUCUUCGGAGGCAGUGGCGGACGGGUGAGUAACGCGUGGGAAUAUGCCCUUUGGUACGGAACAACUGAGGGAAACUUCAGCUAAUACCGUAUGUGCCCUUCGGGGGGAAAGAUUUAUCGCCAUUGGAGUAGCCCGCGUUGGAUUAGGUAGUUGGUGGGGUAAAGGCCUACCAAGCCUACGAUCCAUAGCUGGUCUGAGAGGAUGAUCAGCCACACUGGGACUGAGACACGGCCCAGACUCCUACGGGAGGCAGCAGUAGGGAAUCUUGCGCAAUGGGCGAAAGCCUGACGCAGCCAUGCCGCGUGAAUGAUGAAGGUCUUAGGAUUAGUAAAAUUCUUUCACCGGGGAAGAUAAUGACGGUACCCGGAGAAGAAGCCCCGGCUAACUUCGUG
rnacentral:rRNA from 1 species